rnacentral:tRNA from 1 species
CAGAAAGUAGUUUAUAUAAAAUAUUAAUUUUGGAGAUUAAUGAAAGUUUCAUUGUUUUUUCUGA